CACAUUUUUGGUCUCUUAUCUGUCUCUCCCGUAAGUUUCCCUCUCUCUCUCUGGUUCCUUGCUUUUUCUUCUCUAUUUUGUUUCAAGCUUUGAUCUUUAAUUCCUCUAUCUCUACUUGGAAGUUUUAUGUGCCGUUUGAGCCAAAACGGAGAGCACGACAAGCUCUACGCGUGAGUACCAACAAUUUUAACAAAGGGCCUCCAUAGGGAUUUUGAAAUUUGGAACCCAUUUUGAGGGUUUUGCACAAACUUGAGGUGCCGUUGAAGGCAAAACGAAGCCCACUACGAGCUCUACGCAUCCAUACGAACAAUUCCAGAUUUGGUGCCCUCCUUGGAGUUCGAAAUUCAAGACCCAUUUUAAGGGUUUUGUGCAAAAGUAAGGAAACGGGAAAGAAGUGGCGGAUGACUUUCCACCACAGGCCUAAUUUGGAUUAGAAGACUUUUUUCUAUUUUUGUAUUAAGUCCCAUAUUUUUGUAAAAUCUUAGUUUGUUAUAUUCGGUAUAGAGGUUUGUGGACUCUUAUUAUUAUAAUUAUACCUAUGGGCUGUAACUUUUGUAUGAGCUGUCUAAAUAUUGUAAAAUAUGGACAUUUGAUUUUGGGACUGUAACUAUGUUAUCUGGAUGAUAUCGUAUGUGGUUAUACCACUAUGGAAUGAACUAAGUUAAAGCAUGAUAAAUGGAUG